ACCUUCUCAAGCAUCUAAUCUAAUGUAAUCUAUCAAAGUUAGAAAGAUAACCCAACCAACCCUCUUUUUUCCCUAAACGAUAACGAUAAUUGAAGUUUGGUAAGCCUAAUUGUUAUUUAUUUAAUUAAUUAAAGGAUAGUAAGGUAGGUAACCGCUUCAAUUUGCUUUUUGCACUGAUCACUUAGCAGCAACUCCCUUCACUCUCUCCUCCACAAAAUCCAAUGGCGCCAUCUUUCGCAAUUAACGGCGGCUUCACCGGCGGCAGGGUCACUCCUCCUUCCACCACCGGCCGAUUUGCCUCCGUGUACAGCGAGGUCCAAAAUAGCCGGAUCGACCACGCUCUCCCUCUUCCAUCCGUUCUCAAAACCCCUUUCAAGAUCGUCGAUGGUCCCCAAAGCUCCGCCGCCGGCAAUCCUGAGGAGAUCGCGAAGCUGUUUCCAAACCUGUUCGGGCAACCGUCCGCGACGCUGGUGCCGAGUGAUGCGGAUGCGGCGCAGUCGAAUCAGAAGUUUAAGAUCGGUGUGGUUUUGUCCGGCGGUCAGGCUCCUGGCGGUCACAAUGUGAUUUCGGGAAUUUUCGAUUACCUGCAAGAGAGAGCACAAGGAAGCACAUUGUAUGGUUUCAGGGGUGGUCCAGCUGGCAUCAUGAAGUGCAAAUAUGUUGAACUCACCUCAGACUAUAUUUAUCCUUAUAGAAAUCAGGGUGGUUUUGACAUGAUUCGCAGUGGGAGGGACAAGAUUGAAACUCCAGAGCAGUUUAAACAAGCUGAAGAGACAGUCCAGAAGCUAGACUUGGAUGGCCUUGUUGUUAUUGGUGGAGAUGACUCGAACACAAAUGCGUGCCUUCUUGCUGAGCAUUUCAGGAGCAAAAAUAUGAAAACUCGUGUUAUUGGGUGCCCUAAAACCAUUGAUGGUGAUUUGAAAUGCAAAGAAGUUCCCACAAGUUUUGGGUUUGAUACAGCAUGCAAGAUAUACGCAGAAAUGAUUGGAAAUGUUAUGAUAGAUGCUCGAUCAACUGGAAAAUAUUACCAUUUUGUGAGGCUUAUGGGGCGUGCAGCUUCACACAUUACACUGGAAUGUGCUUUGCAAACUCAUCCAAACAUUACUAUUAUUGGAGAAGAGGUUGCUGCCAAGAAGCUGACACUGAAGAAUGUCACUGACUACAUUGUAGAUAUCAUUUCUAAAAGAGCUGAGGUGAAUUAUAACUAUGGGGUCAUUCUUAUUCCUGAAGGUCUAAUAGAUUUCAUUCCUGAGGUCCAGCACCUUAUUGCAGAACUCAAUGAAAUUCUGGCCCAUGAUACCGUGGAUGAGGAUGGGCAAUGGAAGAAGAAACUCACUGAUCAGUCAUUACAGCUUUUUGAAUUUUUGCCUCAAGCAAUUCAAGAACAAUUAAUGCUUGAAAGAGAUCCACAUGGAAACGUUCAGGUUGCCAAGAUAGAAACAGAGAAAAUGCUCAUUCAAAUGGUUGAAACUGAGUUGGAGAAGAGAAAGCAAGAAGGCACAUAUAAAGGCGGCUUUAGGGGGCAGUCCCACUUUUUCGGUUAUGAAGGAAGAUGUGGCUUGCCAACUAAUUUUGAUUCUACUUACUGUUAUGCUUUGGGUUAUGGUGCUGCAGUCCUCCUUCAAAGUGGGAAGACCGGAUUAAUAUCAUCAGUUGGUAAUUUGUGUGCUCCUGUAGAAGAAUGGACUGUUGGUGGAACUGCCCUCACUGCACUGAUGGACGUGGAAAGGAGACAUGGUAAAUUCAAACCCGUGAUCAAGAAGGCAAUGGUGGAGCUUGAAGAUUUUCUGUUCUUUAUAAAUGUGGAUUAGCAAAUAUCAGAUACAUAACAAUUGCUGUUAUAAUACCUACUUCAAUUGUCGUGGAGUACUGAACGACUACAUUUCAUGUUGAAUCCUCAGGAGCGCCCUUCAAAAAGUAUGCCUCCUUGCGGGAUGAGUGGGCCCUCAAGAAUCGGUACAUCAGUCCGGGUCCAAUUCAAUUCACCGGCCCAGGAUCCAAUGCAAUUAGUCACACGCUACUCUUGGAGCUUGGUACGCAAGCAUAGGCAUAUUACAAUGCCUUCUUUUUGACGGUGGUUAUUCACGUUUUAUGCGAGCUACUGCAAAUAUAUAAUAGAACGGAGAUUAGUCAGGGCUUGUGUUUUUGACUUUGGAACUAAGCGAGUGGAUAAUAGUUUAUGCGUUAGUCGAUGUGCAUUAAUUGGUAAACACGUGCUGCAUCAACAUCAUCGACUUAUGUUUAUGUUUGGGAAUAUUUCGCUGCAUCGUUCAUUUUGUCUCGCCAUUUUGGUACCAUAAUGUAAAUUUAGGAGGUCGAGUACCUGAGUGGGAAAAUUGUAAGAUGGAUGGUGUUUAUCUAAGAUAAGGAAAGCUAAUGGAACUGCUCUGUGUAUUGAAUCAAGUGCGAGGCUGACCACGGUAACGAGUAAUGUUUCUCCCAAU